rnacentral:rRNA from 1 species
CUUUACGGCCACACCGGCCUGAGUACGCCCUGAUCUCGUCCGAUCUCGGAAGCUAAGCAGGGUCGGGCCUGGUUAGUACUUGGAUGGGAGACCGCCUGGGAAUACCAGGUGCUGUAAGCU